AAGGAGGUGAUCCAUCCGCACCUUCCGAUACGGCUACCUUGUUACGACUUCACCCCAGUCAUGAAUCCCACCGUGGUAAGCGCCCUCCUUACGGUUAGGCUACCUACUUCUGGUGAAACCCACUCCCAUGGUGUGACGGGCGGUGUGUACAAGACCCGGGAACGUAUUCACCGCGACAUUCUGAUCCGCGAUUACUAGCGAUUCCGACUUCACGCAGUCGAGUUGCAGACUGCGGUCCGGACUACGAUCGGGUUUCUGAGAUUGGCUCCCCCUCGCGGGUUGGCGACCCUCUGUCCCGACCAUUGUAUGACGUGUGAAGCCCUACCCAUAAGGGCCAUGAGGACUUGACGUCAUCCCCACCUUCCUCCGGUUUGUCACCGGCAGUCUCAUUAGAGUGCUCUUGCGUAGCAACUAAUGACAAGGGUUGCGCUCGUUGCGGGACUUAACCCAACAUCUCACGACACGAGCUGACGACAGCCAUGCAGCACCUGUGUUCCGGUUCUCUUGCGAGCACGGCCAAAUCUCUUCGGCUUUCCAGACAUGUCAAGGGUAGGUAAGGUUUUUCGCGUUGCAUCGAAUUAAUCCACAUCAU
rnacentral:rRNA from 1 species